rnacentral:rRNA from 1 species
CGGACCAAAGCAGGGGCUCUUCGGACCUUGCACUAUCGGAUGAACCCAUAUGGGAUUAGCUAGUAGGUGGGGUAAAGGCUCACCUAGGCGACGAUCUCUAGCUGGUCUGAGAGGAUGAUCAGCCACACUGGGACUGAGACACGGCCCAGACUCCUACGGGAGGCAGCAGUGGGGAAUAUUGCACAAUGGGCGCAAGCCUGAUGCAGCCAUGCCGCGUGUAUGAAGAAGGCCUUAGGGUUGUAAAGUACUUUCAGCGGGG